GUGCCAGCCGCCGCGGUAAUACGUAGGGGGCGAGCGUUGUCCGGAAUUACUGGGCGUAAAGGGCGCGUAGGCGGUUAAUUAAGUCAGAUGUGAAACCCCUCGGCUUAACCGGGGACUGGCAUUUGAAACUGGUUAACUUGAGUGCAGGAGAGGAAAGUGGAAUUCCUAGUGUAGCGGUGAAAUGCGUAGAGAUUAGGAGGAACACCAGUGGCGAAGGCGGCUUUCUGGACUGUAACUGACGCUGAGGCGCGAAAGCGUGGGGAGCAAACAGGAUUAGAUACCCUGGUAGUCCACGCCGUAAACGAUGGAUACUAGGUGUAGGAGGUAUCGACCCCUUCUGUGCCGGAGUAAACGCAAUAAGUAUCCCGCCUGGGGAGUACGGCCGCAAGGUUGAAACUCAAAUGAAUUGGCGG
rnacentral:rRNA from 1 species